AUACGUAGGUGACAAGCGUUAUCCGGAUUUACUGGGUGUAAAGGGCGUGUAGGCGGUUUAGCAAGUCAGAAGUGAAAUUCCCGGGCUUAACUUGGGCGCUGCUUCUGAAACUGCUUUACUUGAGUGCUGGAGAGGAUAGUGGAAUUCCUAGUGUAGCGGUAAAAUGCGCAGAUAUUAGGAGGAACACCGGUGGCGAAGGCGGCUAUCUGGACAGUAACUGACGCUGAGGCGCGAAAGCACGGGGAGCAAACAGGAUUAGAUACCCUGGUAGUCCGUGCCGUAAACGAUGAAUACUAGGUGUAGGGGGUAUUGACUCCCUCUGUGCCGCAGUUAACACAUUAAGUAUUCCACCUGGGGAGUACGGCCGCAAGGUUGAAACUCAAAUGAAUUGGCGGGG
rnacentral:rRNA from 1 species